AAUGUGGAGCCUGACUAAAGGAUUAUCGUGAUAGGAUAAAAUAUGUAAGGCACCUUACCUACAUUA
rnacentral:tRNA from 1 species